rnacentral:rRNA from 1 species
GACGAACGCUGGCGGCGUGCUUAACACAUGCAAGUCGAACGGAAAGGCCCUGCUUUUGUGGGGUGCUCGAGUGGCGAACGGGUGAGUAACACGUGAGUAACCUGCCCUUGACUUUGGGAUAACUUCAGGAAACUGGGGCUAAUACCGGAUAGGAGCUCCUGCUGCAUGGUGGGGGUUGGAAAGUUUCGGCGGUUGGGGAUGGACUCGCGGCUUAUCAGCUUGUUGGUGGGGUAGUGGCUUACCAAGGCUUUGACGGGUAGCCGGCCUGAGAGGGUGACCGGGCCACAUGGGGACUGAGAGGGGCCCCGGCCCCCGGGGGGAGGGAGGGGGGGGGAAUAUUGCACAGUGGGCGGAAGCCUGAGGCAGCACCCCGGCGUGGGGGAGCCGGGCUUUGGGGUGGUAACCCGCUUGCCCUUGAGAAGAAGAGGGAGGGACGUUAGGGGAUAAAGAGGCACCGGCUAACUACGUG